rnacentral:rRNA from 1 species
CCUACGGGUGGCAGCAGUCGAGAAUUAUUCACAAUGGGGGAAACCCUGAUGGUGCGACGCCGCGUGGGGGAAUGCAGGUCUUCGGAUUGUAAACCCCUGUCAUGUGGGAGCAAAUUAAAAAGAUAGUACCACAAGAGGAAGAGACGGCUAACUCUGUGCCAGCAGCCGCGGUAAUACAGAGGUCUCAAGCGUUGUUCGGAAUCACUGGGCGGAAAGCGUGCGUAGGCUGUUUCGUAAGUCGGGUGUGAAAGGCGGGGGCUCAACCCGCGGACGGCACAUGAUACUGGGGGCCUAGAGUGAGGGAGGGGGAAGCGGAAUUCGCGGUGUAGCAGUGAAAUGCGUAGAUAUCGCGAGGAACACUCGUGGCGAAGGCAGGUUACUGGACAUUAACUGACGCUGAGGCACGAAGGUGAGGGGAGCGAAAGGGAUUAGAUACCCGUGUAGUC